CUCAGUACUAAAUCUUUAAGGACUAAAUUAAAGAGAAAAUAUACUUGUUGUGAUUGUUGAAUACAUACUGUAUUUAACUUUUUUUUAAUCCCAGAGAAGUGAAAUGCAACAUCCAUUUGAGUUUAUGUAACAUCCAAAGACUGACAACUCAGAAUUUCCUAAUUAAAGUCAUUUUUAAGGCACUCUGCAGAGCCAGCUUUCAUAUCUUCCUUUGUGGCAUUAUUCUUCAAACUGUAGCAGAAUACCUGGCUUCUCUGUCUUCAGUGACACACAUACAUGCUCAUGCUCUUAGCCUCCACUUCUGUCCUUGGACAAUACCAAAAACAAGACAAUUUUAAGAGAGGAAAAUACAUUUGAGGGAAGCAAGGAGAGAGCAGAGAGGACAUGUACACAUAAAUUAACUGAUAGGCCAGUAGCUGAAAAGAGAAGGAGCAGGAAGGAAAUGGAACAGGGUGGGGUAGACCAGAUGGCUGGUGGCCGGUGAAAAAAAUAGGCUACAUUUCUCAAUGAGGUUUAAAUUAAUUUAGCUGGUUCCUUUUUAAAUUGUUUUAUUUUUAUUUUUAAAGAUGGGGCCAAUGCAAGGGAGGUAUUCCAAAAUUAUGGGAUGUGGAUAUAGGUAAGUGUGCUUGCUUAUGCUCAUGUACUUAUGAGCUGACUUUGAAAAUAGGUAUGGGGGAGAAGAGGCUCUAAAAUGCCCUCCUGAGGAAAAAAAAAUAAUCUCUCUUACUGGCCCACUUCUGCACCUGAAAUUCCAGCAUUCAAGCUAUUCCUUCAAAUUAAGGCAUUGUCUAUAGCUCCAAUUAAAAGGUAAAUGUCACCUACGAAGUGUAACACUCAAUUCUUUAGCACCCACUGACUGAACCAUUGCCUAUCAGAGAGCAGGACCCUGAGAGAUGGGACUUGGUGCAGGACAGUCUGAUGAAUGGGGCAAGAAGGCAUGGUGCUAUAAAUGCAGGAGAAAUCUACUUGCUCUGGGAACCUGCUAAGAUGCUGGAGGUGGGGUGGGAAAAUGAACUCUUUCUAUGCGGGAGCACUCUCUUGUGCAUACAACAGACACACUCUCUAACACAUCCAACAGUUUUUAGACAUUACAGCAUUCUUCAUGGAGCACUACUGUGGAAUUCACUGGGGCCCUUGAGGAAAUGAGCGCAGGGAAUCCACUGAGUACAUGACAACUCAAGUUCUUGAUUAUUUUCAGGUAAAAGUCUAUACUGUAAAGAUGAAGUUCAGCAUCUCCAUAGAUCAAUGUAGUUUAUAUGAAGGCAGUACACACACACACACACACACACACACACACACACACACACACACACACACACAUAUACAUACAUACACACGCACAUACGCACCUUCACUUAUAUUUGUUGUUUGAGAACUUGUCAACAUGAGGGGUGAGAAAUCUCUUCUAGUCAUCUAUGAUUUGGAUGCUGUCAUAGAGUGGGGGUUACUGUCACGUCAUUGGGUAAAGGGACUGCUUUGGGGACAGUCCUUUCCUUUACCAGUGGGCCCUCACAUAAUUCAUGUUGCUCUGCAGAAACAUCCAACCCUUGGGUUAUGAAAACUGGAACGAGCCUUGCCUUAAGAUUGAGACACAGAGACAGGAAUAACUAUGUAACUUCUAAUGCUGGGAGGGAGGCAUGUGUGGUGGGGGUGGUGCAGAUGGAAGGUGAACUUGGGCAGGGGAUGAGCUUUUGCUUCUGGAGAGGCCAAGUGUAGGCAUCAGCUUCAGGUGUGACUUUUGGGACCAUUCACAUUUUGGGUCUGCUCAGGUUGACGGUGCUGAUGGGGAAAGUUUAAGGAGGAAAAGGGACCAGAGGAAUUAGGGUUCCAGAGGAAGCUUGUCCAGAGGAAGGGGUCUUGGAGGUAGGUGGGGAUGCAGAUGACAAUAGAAGGGUAUUUUUGUUGUUGUUGUUGUUUAAAUCAACUGCAUUUACAAGUUAGAAUCAUCUGGGUCACUAAAAAGGCCUCUGCUGCUCAGCCGUUGGAGAUUCUGCUAUGGAUACACUGAGGUGGAAACCAGGCAUGUGGUUUUAAGCUCGUGAUAUAAAUUCGAACGUGUACCAGGUGUCAAGUAUUCCACAGCACAGCAGACUGAGAAGUCCAGUCUUAAGAGUCAGGCUGGAGUCAGUUGGUCAGUCUUGCAUGAGUUUGGGAAGAAAUGGAAGGGAAAACAGUGCAAGAGCAAGGGGCUGGAAGACUCUGGGUUUCUGUCUGGCUAGCUGGGCCUGUGCUGACUUGUGUGGCUGGACAGCUUACUACUAACUGGUAGUUUCUGAUCCAAUUUCUGGUUGAAAAUUGGGCUGGGGUAGAAGGAUUUGCAAUCAGGGAGAAGGAUUUCCUUCUUCUUUUGUGGCUUCAAAGAGAAAUCAUUUACUGUGCUCUGUGGGAGCCAACAAGACACGUUUGGGGCUGGUGUUUGAAAGAUGGAAGUAGAUUUUUCUGGUGUAUAAUAAAUACAGAUUCCAUAAAUAAAUAAAUAAUUAAAUAAAUGAGUAUACCAAUAAAUAAAACAAUCAGUAAAACAACAUAUACCACUUUUGCCCUGUUGGGGAAGUUCUGCUCUCAUUCCACUGAUCCUGGUGACAUAAAUGCUGCUCUUGGACAUCUGAAGGCACCAAGCCUGUCCACGGUAGGGCAAAAGCUGCCUUCCAAAGACCUUAGAGAAACCUCAGGGGAUGAUUGACAUUGGCUAUCCACAUAGAGAGAGGGGAAGGGGAGAUACAUAUUCUCCCUGUUUCCCACCCAAAAGUGUGGGGUGGGGUGGCAGGCUUGGGAGCCAGGGUUGGGCCGUGUGGGGUCCCUUCAGUCCAGGAUGACCAGCCUUGUCCUUGGGAGGCUUCAUGUGGAGGGAGGGGAUGAGCUGGAGGUGUGGGUGAACUCAAUCUUUCCACACCCAAAAGGUGCAGCAGGUGCAACUUCCACUUCAACAAAGCUCCCCCAUGAGCCAACCAGCUGGCCUGGCUGGACACAGCAGUGGGGAGAGGAGGUACUGGUCACAGGAUGGGAGGGUGGCGAGGAGACAGGCAAGAUGGCACUCUUUUUAAAAUAGGAAAUCAGCUGUCCAGGGUGUCAGCUUCUAGAGCCACCAGCCAUUGCUCAUAUUCUCCUCCUCAAUGUCUUGCCAUGUGGUUCUGCUUGCUGAGCUUGCUUUGUCCUACUAGGAGACCUGCAUGUGGACAUAGAAACAUGCAAACAGUGCGCAUUAAGACAGUGGCUUAGGGAACAUCAUCCCUUAAAAGCAAAUAUUCAUAAUUCAAGCUAUGUAAGUAGAUUUUCAAAGGGAUAAUAGCUUAAAUUUUGUGCAAAGUUUUGAGCAUCUUCAGGCACAUUUCUCUACAAAGGAGGUCUAUAACUUUCAUCUAUUCUUAAAAGAAUAAAAACUAAAACAAUAUGAAGGGAUUCCAAGUCGUUUGUGUGUUUAGUCCACUAGGAAAGCACAAAAGGAUCUACAGGAAUGGGUGGAAAUUCACACACUGCUCCUUAGUAUUCCAGGCACAGAGAUUUGCAGAAACUGAACUGGCUGAAGCCCUCUGGUGUAGCCAGGAUUUCUAUCAUUGAGUCAUGCCAAUAUUACCAAAGCUUCCUUCUUCACUAUGUAUCUGUAUCAUUCAACCUUAAGUAGUCAAUCAAAUUUUCAUUAGGAAAAAAAUAUAUAGCAACUUUCUUUUGUGGGAACUUAUAGAUGCUGCUUUAUGUAACAGCUGAGUCCAAAAGAGGUGGGUGAACCCACUUUUAAAAAUAAAACAAAAAGCAUUUUUGAAUGCAUGAAGGGAAUUGGUCUGAGAGAAAGUUAAAUGUUGUGAAUUCUUUUCUUUCUUUCCUGAAUUUCUUAAUGUGUGUGUGUGUGUGUGUGUGUGUGUGUGUGUGUGUGUGUGUGUGUGUGUGUGUACAUAUGUGUGAGUUCAUGUUUGCAUAUAUGUGUACAUGUGUGUAUGUGAAUAUGUUUGUUAUACAUGUGUGGGUGCCCGUGCAAGUGUGUGCACCUAAGUGUAGAGGUUGGAGAUCUAUUUUCAGUGUCUUUCUCAGUAGCUCUACAUUAUUUUUUGAGACAAGAUCUCUCUGUCUGAGCCUGGAGCUCACUAGUCUAACUAAACUAUAUAUAUAUCCAGGUUUUGGAAGAAGAAUCCAAAACAUUUAUGUAGAUAGUUAAAUAAACUUGUCUUGAUGCUCUAAAAUUAGAAGAUAAGCCCAUUUCGUAUACAAACAGGGACUUGGUCUAAGAUAUAUUUUAGAAAACACCCCUCUGUGAACCCUGUUCACCACAACAGUGGCCAUGCUCUUUGGCACCUGUAAAUGCCAAUUUCCAUUUCUCUAAGAAUGUGAUUAGUUGGGAAUGUGAUUAGCUAGAGGUCCUGACUGUGGCAGACUCUGCCAGCCCUUGGUACCUGGCAUGGCAUAGAAGAGCAAACAUGGUGAGACGGGGAGGAGGCUGGGUAUAAGGUUAGCAUAUGUGAACAGAGGCCUCAGUUGAACUCAUGGUCUAGAGAUGUUCACAGAGCACACCACAUAGGUGCUCAUGAACAGAAGUCACAUCACCGAGAAAACUGCCUUAAGAAUCAUGUUUGUAUUAUUUACUAUUGAUAUUAGUCCUUACAUCUUUAGUAUAGUAAUUCUAUGUGCUAUAUAAUAGUGAUGCUUUGACAGCAUAAUUUUUGUAUAGGAAAUAUUUUAACUGUGUGGUUUACUUUUGUCUAUUAGUUUUCCUAAGGCAAGACACAAGCAACCCAGCGCUCUCUGUUAAGGGAAUUCUUGUAGUUUAAACACUUUGUGGGGUGCAGAUGGCACUGAGAAGGGGCGCCUUCUUGUGUUAUAGAUAAAUAAAUGAAGGUCAGUAUGACAUCAAUACAAAAUCAGGCCUCGGGAGCUCAGUUCCCUGGCUCCUGGGUCCCCUGUAUUAAUGAAUAAUAUGUCUGGUAUACAGAGAUCUGGGUAGAAAUAUCUACUUUACUGAAGACAAAAAGGCAAGAUCUCUUUUUUCUCUCAGUGAAAAGCUCAUAAUUGAACUGACUUUAAAACUGUUUAUUCUUUUGUACAAAAUAUUAUAAUUUCUUUCUCAUGAAUGUGCUUAAAGAAGAAAUCCUUUGGUUUUGUUAGUGGCUCUUGGGACUAGGAUUUUUUUUUUUUGGCUGUUUAAGAAGAUCGAUGGAAUUCUGUAUUUUCUCAGGACAGGGUUUCUCUGUGUACCUGGUUGUCCUGGAAUUCACUGUGUAGACCACACUGGUCUUGAACUCAAGAUAUCCACCUGCCUCUGCCUCCUGAAUGCUGGGAUUAAAGACAUGGGCCACCCUGCCUGGCAAGAUCCAUGGAAUUCUUUAGGUGAGAAAGUCCUCAGUUUUCUGGUAUGUGUGCCUGUGUGCAUGUGCAUGUUUGUUUUCUGGUGUGUGUGCCCGUGUGCAUGUACACGUGCAUGUGCAAACAUAAGGAGGUAUGUGUGGAAGACCUCUAGCUCCAUCCAUCUGAUAUUCACACGUGUAGUCUUUCCCCCUAAUUAAUUAGAAGUACUAGCUUUCCAUAGUUUCUGCUAGGGAGUAAAGUGGGAAAUUAUUUAAUUGGCUGUCUUGCUUUCAAAGCCCAGUUUAAUGAAAUAGUUCUCACCCUGAAGUGCAUGUAUUAUCUUUCCUGUUAUUUUUACAAUUAACAUUUCAUUGGAUCACAUCUGUGUGGAAUAUUCUAAUUGGUUUCUAGGGUGGGGGCAGAUGGAGAGAUAGCCCAAGUGCUGGGGUAUGUACUGGUGGGACCACAGGGUCUCUCUGGGCUUUUCCUUAUGACAGGGUGCUUGAGAAGUCUUGUCCUGUUACUUUAUUUACCCUUAGGGACUAGAGAGGGGUCAUAACAGUCCCUCUAAAAAGAUAGACUGGUUGAUGCAUCCAUCAGAUAGAGAGAUGACUCUGAGACACUUUACAAGGUCCCGGGCUACCUCGCAAUGUACAAUGAAUGCCUCCUACAGCUUCCUAUGAACACUGUCCCAUUGAAGGCAAGGGAUCUGUUUUGUCAACUACGUAGGAGAUUUGCUGUAGAAAGAUUUGCUAGAAGAAUGGGCAUUUGGAGAAAUCCCAUGAUACCUUCCCUGACUUGCCCUUCUGUGUGGAAGCAGAGAAUUAGAGGUCGUUGUGAAGUGGGGCAGAGAGUAAGGUGGCAAGCCAGGCACUGCGGCAAACACCAAGAAGCCUUUCUCUUACACGCAAAUGCACAGGUGCAAGAGUGGGUGCCUUCUUAUGUCUUACUCUAGAUGUCCCCUAGCCUGCAACUAGAAAAACAUCCUGUCCUCCUUGCUCCAGUAACGCUGGCCCUCAGCCAGCCCAAGAUUCAAUGAUGCUACCAUUUAAAUAUCUCACGGUACUGUCCGUAUCCCUCACAAUCCCAUAUGGCAUUGGGCCCUGCUUGUGUCUUGGCUCUGUGUCUUGGUUCUUUCAUCUUCACUGUACAGUUCUGAUAUAUGUAUUUUCCCUAUCCCUGGGUAUUUCUGAACCAGCACUCAACUGUUUUAAGGACCAACCGGCAUUUUAUAGGCUGAGAGGUGAAAGACUCUCUGUGCUUGGUCUCCCGCUGCCUAGAGGCCUGGAUCCAUAUUUGACUUGGAAAGAAGAGCUGGUAGGUUGUCUCCGUGAGCAUCCUUCAGCUCAUCUGGGAGAAACGGAUAAUUUGAGGCAUGGGACAGGGACAGGGGCAGGCUCAAACAAAACUAUGUAGCUGAUCUAAGAGAGACCACAGAGAAAGGGGUCACUGUAGGCAGACGUAGAAAGAAGCCACAGCCACUCAUACCUCCCCCAUUGCAAGAUAGCCUGGGGUGUGUUGUGUAUGUACAGGGUAAGGGGACGUACUUGCUCAUUUUAUUUGCUUCAAGAUGACAGAUCUGUAAAGCCACUUGCAAACUGGAAGGUCUUAGCCAAAACUAUAGGGACAGAUGGGCCAGUAG
rnacentral:lncRNA from 1 species